GAGCAUUGCCUUGCCUUGCCAUCACAUUCACUCAUCUCUGUCAUGCUAAAAUCUUUCAUAUAUUUUGCAAGCCAAGUUGUAUAUUAUAUGUGUUACAACCAACAGUAUAAAUUGGUAUGCAUUAUUCUUUACAGUACAAGUACAAGUAAAUGAACAUCUUUGUGUCAUUCUCCAUUAUGCAACCUUUUGCCUCUUCUUUGUCUCCCAUCCAUAGGUUUCCACAGCCAACUCAAGGAAUUCAUGAAGGAGGAACCACGCCAGUAACAAGCAGCAUGAAGGCAAGUCAAAAGAACACAAAAAUUAGAAUAUUUCACGAAGUUGGUGGGGGGAAGAAAAAUUGAAUUUUAGUUCACAAAACUCAUGGUGAGAUUGUUUACUACUGCCAACUGCAUAUUUAACAUCUUCAUUUUAAUGAUUUUCACAUAUUCAUAGGCAUUCAUCAAAUUUGAGGGAUACAUCUUUUCAUGGUGCUCAUUAAAUUUCUAUUAUGCUCUUAAUUUUUUUUCAGUUGAAAGCCCUUAAUAUCAAAAGCAAAGACAAGUUUAAGGUAUAGCUCUUAACUCCUUUUUCUUGGACAUAUACUGUUAACUCUGUUCAUGAUAGUUUUCUCAUUUCUCUUUUUUUCUACAAGUUUCCUCCCCCCACCUAACCAAAUCUCGCCUAAGAGUCUACCAUAUUUUCUACAUUGAUUGUGACAAAAACCAGUUGCAAGCUAAAAAUAUUAAACUUUCUCCAAAUCGAUAACAGCUUAGAGUUGAAUAAUAAAGUGAUUGAAUGAGAAAGAACUAAGGCCAACACUUUGUUUAUAUAAACAAGAGAUUCAUUAGAACAAGUUGUACACAAUUGUUUUCAUUUAUUCUUACUUACAGUGAUAAUGAGUAUUUGAACAACAGCAAGCAAGCAAGUUAGUUAACAAGUCCUCAUCACACACUUUGACAGCUCCUUCAUCCCACAGUAUCUCAAAGUGUUUGGAUAGAGCCAAGCAAGCAUGUCAACAUGAACAUAAUCACCUGCAGAUUUGUGUAGAUUAAGAAAGUAGUAUCGGCCAUAAGAUAUAAUUUUCAUAUUUACUUACACUAAUAUGUAUAUUUCUAUAUUUUUCUGAGUAUCUUCAAAUUUUUGCAUUUAGACUUCACCAUCGUACUUGAAACUUACCUAAGGCACUUGAUACUUUUUUACACUAAUCAAUUUGCUCUAUAUUUUAAGUGCUUGGGUACCAAUUAUAAGUAAUACUUUUUGAGCCUCUAAA